rnacentral:rRNA from 1 species
UUGACCUCGGAUCAGGUAGGAUACCCGCUGAACUUAAGCAUAUCAAUAAGCGGAGGAAAAGAAACCAACAGGGAUUGCCUCAGUAACGGCGAGUGAAGCGGCAACAGCUCAAAUUUGAAAUCCGGCUUCGUGCCCGAGUUGUAAUUUGCAGAGGGUAUUUCGAGGGCGACGUCGGCCUAAGUCCUUGGAACAGGGCGUCAUAGAGGGUGAGAAUCCGUCUGCGGCCGACGAUCCAUCUCAUGUGAAAUCCCUUCGACGAGUCGAGUUGUUUGGGAAUGCAGCUCAAAAUGGGUGGUAAAUUUCAUCUAAAGCUAAAUACCGGCCAGAGACCGAUAGCGCACAAGUAGAGUGAUCGAAAGAUGAAAAGCACUUUGGAAAGAGAGUUAAAAAGUACGUGAAAUUGUUGAAAGGGAAACGCUUGCCAAUAGACCGAUCGGCGGGCUGCAGUUGGGGAUUAUCUUUCCCGGCGUGACGCACCCGUCAUUCGGCCAGCAUCGGUUUCGGUGGCUCGACAAAGAUCGUGGGAACGUGGCUCCUCGGAGUGUUAUAGCCCACGAUGUCAUGGAGCCUAUCGGGACCGAGGACCGCGCUUCGGCUAGGAUGCUGGCGUAAUGUUGUUAAGCGACCGUCUUGAAACACGGACCAAGGAGUCUAACAUCUAUGCGAGUGUUUGGGUGUUAAACCCAUGCGCGGAAUGAAAGUGAACGGAGGUGAGAACCUUUGGGUGCAUCAUCGACCGAUCCUGAUGUCUUCGGAUGGAUUUGAGUAGGAGCAUAGCCGUUGGGACCCGAAAGAUGGUGAACUAUACGUGAAUAGGGUGAAGCCAGAGGAAACUCUGGUGGAGGCUCGCAGCGGUUCUGACGUGCAAAUCGAUCGUCAAAUUUGCGUAUAGGACCAAUCGAACCAUAGUAGCUGGUUCCUGCCGAAGUUUCCCUCAGGAUAGCAGUAACGUUUUCAGUUUUAUGAGGUAAAGCGAAUGAUUAGAGGCCUUGGGGUUGAAACAACCUUAACCUAUUCUCAAACUUUAAAUAUGUAAGAGGUCAUUGUUGCUUAGUUGAACGAUGACAUUGGAUCACCGUACUAGUGAAGAAGGG